AGGAUCCAGCGACAUCAAGAGAUUACGGAAAAUCACGCGAGAUAACUGGCUCGCACCUUGUUGGGUUUUUUCAAGGGCAGAGGGGAGAUUCCUGGCGUGCAUCUACUUAAUUUGAAGAAGAACAUCACCUGUCUGUAAUCCACCUGCGUAAGUACUGGUCAAGGGGCUCAUCGGCUAUCAAGUUAUAGAUUUCAGUGGCUAAUAGAAGACACUGCUGAGGUCAGACGAGAGUGCAUCCUCAAAGGUCUGUGUGUACCUAAAUGAAGAUCCAGAGAAGCUGGUGAGAGAGUACAUGG